CUGGCUGUGACUCUUUCCACAGCUAUCAGUUAAUUAUUCAUUCCAUCAUGCAGGUACCUGGAACAAAGUGAGCAGCAGUUUGAUAAAAACCUGGAGGAGAGUGAAAUCAAAAUUGGCUUCCAACAUUUGAAGAAGGCACCACAGGCGUAAGCUCUUAAUUCACAACUGUCAAGAGAAGUUUGAUGCAUUAAAAGCUCAUCAAGCCCCAUGGGAUGCAGAAGAGUGAAAGCACAGAAAACUUCCUACCUCAGCAGUUAUCUAGUGAAAACAGGUAUAACACCUGUGGAAAAAUGCCUUGGACUUGCUGUUGAUCUUCAUUACACGAGCGCAGUGCUUCUCAGCAAGGGUACUGAACAAUGUAAGCACUACAGGUACACAAGCAGCUAUACAAUUUACAAGAUAAACCCUGAAAUUUCAAAGAGGAUGCCAUAGUAUCAAAACCAUUCUGAGCUGUUGUGGUCUUUCCAAGUUCUUUGCAGAAAACAGAAAAAUUGUUCUGUUACUUUUCAUAAUUAAAAAAUGAGUGAAAGCUAAAAGCAGGCAUUUUUCAAGUUGUGCCUUGAAUCUAACAAGGUUGAGAACCACUGCAGUAGUUUGUAAAUCCAGAAAAAUUCCAUUAAAGUUAGUUGGCCACAUACUCACCACUUUAAAUUUUCAUCACUCUGUGACCAAUGGCAGCAUACCAAUCUAGACCAGCUGUGAAUCUGACCCACUUGAGUUAAAAUUGGUGCAGUGGAUAGAAACAUAGGCUUGGAAGGGACCUCAGGGGUCAUCUAGUCCAACCCCCUGCACAUAUGCAGAAUCAAGACCUAUAAGCAAAUCUUUUCAGAAAUAAAUUACAGGAAUCCUAUUUCCUCCUCUUUGACAUUACCUCAGCAUUUUACAAAUCUAACUGUUCCAGCAGUUCUGCAAGCUGAAAAGUUUAUUGUUUGUGUACUAAGUGCAUUAAGCUUGUACUAUAAUUUUCUAUUAUUUAAUGCUAUUUUUCAUUUUAAAAUCCCUUAAAAGAAAAUCAAUUAAAAAAAAAAAAAAUCAAUGCAUGCCCUUGCAUUGAAAGUGAGUCACUGUUGCACAUAUUUUGAGAAAUAAAAGAAACAAAUAAAAAACAAAAAAAGAGAAACAGAAAAAUGGAAAAGAAAGAAAUAGAAAAGUCAUCACCUGUGUGUGUCAAAUUUGGCACCAAAAAUUAUUCAAGACUUUUUACUUUAAAUUACUCUGUCCUUCGACUUUACUUUUGCAAAAAUCAAUCUAAGGCAUUUAGAUAUACAAAUUAUUCUAACAUCUGGGUGCCUCAUCAUCCAAUAUAUUUAUCUUGGCAGCACCCUUAAUAAAAAAGCACUGUUAUUUUGAUUUUACAAGUUUGGAACUGGAAAAGAGACCAAUGCCUUUGUCCUUGAAGUUAUUUAAAGAACUAACAUCACUGGCACCUAAAUAUCUUUGAGGAUCGGGAUAUAAGAUGCCAACACCGCAUAGGAAACCCAUAGAAGAACAGGGAAUUGCAUCACAGCAUUCUAAGUCUUAGGCCAAAAAACCAUCCUUCCUUGCUGAGGGAGAAUAAUACCACCUUUUAUCAUAGGAGCGUUCUACAAAUAUAUUCAAUAAUAUUCAGAGCCCUCAGAUACCAUGGUGAGAAUGUGAGGAAACGAAUCAUUCUGUCUGAAGUUCAGGAUUUGAAUGGUGUACAGUAGAUAAGGCCUGUGGCCACAUGUUGAAUAAUAACAUGAAGACAUUUGGGGGAGGGGAAACCCUAGCAAUUCAGUGCACACUGCCUACCUUAGUGAACUGAAUGGUGAGAAAAAAAGGACAUGUGAUCAUUAAUCAAAGGUUAAUAUAACUAUAGGAUAAAAUAUGGCAUACACAUAGUGUAACUAAAUUAAUGUUGUAUGAGUAACUUUAAUUCAGGUAUGUCCUAAUAAUUCUGUAUGACUUUGCAACCUUAGUUUUCUUUUACUUUGCCUUUUUCUGUAUAUGAUGCAAUGCAGACAAUAAAGAGACAGCACAAGUAGGACAAAAGAGA